rnacentral:rRNA from 1 species
CACGUAGGGUGCGAGCGUUGUCCGGAAUUAUUGGGCGUAAAGAGCUCGUAGGCGGCUCGGUAAGUCGGAUGUGAAACCUCCAGGCUCAACCUGGAGACACCAUCUGAUACUGCCGUGGCUUGAGUCCGGUAGAGGAGCAGGGAAUUCCUGGUGUAGCGGUGAAAUGCGCAGAUAUCAGGAGGAACACCAGCGGCGAAGGCGCUGCUCUGGGCCGGUACUGACGCUGAGGAGCGAAAGCGUGGGGAGCGAACAGG